rnacentral:misc_RNA from 1 species
ACUACAUUGUGUACCUUAUGAAAAGGGUGAAGAAGAAGUUUAUGAAAUACUGGACAGCUGCAGGACUACGUAGUGAUAUUCUGAACAAGCUUGGUGGACACUCUCACUUGGCACCUUCAAGUGAUCGGGCUGUGGUGAACCGAAUGGUAAGUAACCCCAGUCAGAUGCAGCAUGAUUCUUUUGGCACUGGCCAGCCCCAGACUCAAAUACCCCAACCAAGCUACACACAGCCUUAUCAGUCUCAUCAGUGUCAGCCAAGUACCACCCAAGUGCCACAAUUUUCCCAGUUACAUACUGGUGUGGAUAGUAUUUAUGCAGGACAUUCACGCAUACCAGGGCCACCUGUUACAGUCCUUCCGAUGGGGGUGGAAAAACAAACCCGCAAGCAUUCAGUUGUCCCUAUGAUGAGUGGCUCAACACAUUCCCAGCAACAACAGCACCAACUAAGCUCAUCUUAUGCCACAGCAGAGCACUGGCCAGCCACAGCCAUCUCAUUUGCAUAGUGGUGCAGAUAUUAAUAACACAGUGGAUCACAUGCUUAGCAGCAUGAGCCAACCUCAACCGAGCCACCGCCAAGCAAGUGAAUCAAAUCAGCCUCGGGCAGGCAUUGGGCAGCCUCAGCCGUCUCAGCCAAGUGUAGGUGUUUCUGGUGCAGGCAUGCCACGUGUGAAGGCUAGGAGGGGGGGACGAAGACAUAUGCAGAGGUGCUCUACUGGCCCUUUGGCCUCUACUGGCCCUUUGGCCANGCCAAAAUCCCAUUGGUCUCGGGCCAUUCUGUGCCUCAACAGCCAUCCGGGAGCCACAGCCACCCACAUAGGUCACAACACUCCACACUUGAGAGAAAGAGGAGGGGUCGAGGCCCCACUCGAUGCCGUUUCAUGUUGGACUUGCCUGACGGUGAGCGAAUAUUCAUCCCUAUCAACAUGCUGGGACAGCCUGUUGGUCCUGAAGCAUCAAAGCUCGCUUCCUUCUUGGGAACUGUAGCACGAAAUGGUAAGAUGGCG